rnacentral:sRNA from 1 species
UCAGUAUUGUUUAUUACGGUUGGUAAUGC